rnacentral:rRNA from 1 species
CCUACGGGAGACAGCAGUAGGGAAUAUUGCUCAAUGGGGGAAACCCUGAAGCAGCAACGCCGCGUGGAGGAUGAAGGUUUUCGGAUUGGAAACUCCUUUUGUUAGAGAAGAGAAUGACGGUACCUAACGAAUAAUCACCGGCCAACGCCGUGCCAGCAGCCGCGGUAACACGGAGGGUGCAAGCGUUACUCGGAAUCACUGGGCGUAAAGGGCGCGUAGGCGGGAUAGCAAGUCAGAUGUGAAAUCCUAUGGCUUAACCCUAGAACUGCAGUUGAAACUGUUAUUCUAGAGUAUGGGAGAGGUAGGUGGAAUUCUUGGUGUAGGGGUGAAAUCCGUAGAGAUCACGAGGAAUACUCAUUGCGAAGGCGACCUGCUAGAACAUAACUGACGCUGAUGCGCGAAAGCGUGGGGAGCAAACAGGAUUAGAUACCCGAGUAGUC